ensembl:lncRNA
GCCAUGCACCAAAUGCUCAGUAACUGCCCGGAGAACCAAUCAAGUGGCCAGAAUGCUGGAGAAUGGAGGGUUCUGGACAAACCCCUGUCCGGUCAGCUCUUACACGGCUGGAUGUCUUAGGCUGGGUUUCCCUAGACAGAGGAAGCAGCCUCUGAGAAAAGGAUUGGGGUCUUAACCGUGCAUGUGGGAAGUGAGUGUGUCGGUACAGGAUGCCUUCAGAAGCAGCGCUCCGUCCCUCUGGGAACUUCUGGGAAGGGGGACGAAACACCGCUUAAAGUUACAGCCGCCUCGAGGGGCCAGGACACUGGGUCUGGUCAUUUCAAAACUUCAGGCUCAAAUUUGAUCCCAAACUUUCUUCUUCCUCCACAAGGGCCGUCUUGCCAGUACCCAGCCCAGUGUCUGGCACAUAGUGGUAUCUUAGACUGGAGUGGAAUUCAACUGGCAGGAAGAAAGAGCUGGCAAGGUGAGAGGCGGAGAGAGCUGGUGUUGACUGGCAUUGGAGUGGGCCCCUGGGACCCCAGUGGACCAGUCAGUUCCCUGCAUUACAGGAAGCCAGGGCUUCCCAACAGCCCCUCAGCUCAGGACCCUGG